rnacentral:lncRNA from 1 species
AGCACCAAAAUAAAAGAAGUAUGUCCAAGUCGCCAAGCAAAUCAUUCAGCGAAGAAACCAUAAAUCCCAUGCAUAUUCUUCAGCGAGUCAAUGAGCUUCUGCGGAACAAUGUCUUUAAAGGCACUUUUAGAGAGCGCAGAAAUAUUCCAUUUUUAAAUGGCCCUCGUGAUGUAAUUGUCGUCCAUCAAUCAGAGAAGGAAUUCUUGAAGAAAGCCAGGGUUGCCAUAAGAAUUUUAAAACCAUUAGAAAUGUAUAAAGACUCCUUCAUCGGAAUCACAGAAGAAGAAUGUGAAGACUCCGGUGAAUCUGAAAUUUUACUGUGGAUCCCACCCGCACACGAGCAGCCAUUUGGAGAUUAUUUAUUCUUUAUGCCAGGAAUUGUUGCAAACGAGGCGGAAGUCGGUGUUUCUGUGCUUUUUACCAGGAGACUAGAGGCUAAUGAACUUGGAAUUCCUGAUUACAACGAAGACGAACCACUUGCAGAAAUUUUGAAGAAAAGAAUCGCAGUGUUGUCCAAACAUUUCACUGAGUUCCUUCUAGAGGUUUUCACGUAUACAAAUUUUAAAUUAGCAGUACAGUUCUUGAGUGCUUUAUUGUUGACAAUUUGUGUUACUUUGGGAAAUUUCACCUACUGUUUUGGCGACUUUCUUCUCAAAUUCAUGCGUGAGGUAUCCAUUUUCACGGAAGCUGCAACUCCUAUCCUCUUUGGAUGCUUGCAUGUCAUUAAUAAUGCUGUGUAUGGUCUCUACACAUUGAUUUUAUGUCUUUUCAAAAGUAACUCGGCCCCAUUCAAAGCUCCGCCGCCUCCAGAUCAAGUGCAACGCUUCGGUGGAAAAACGAGCGAAUGA